GCUGAUAUGGCUCAGUUGGUAGAGCGCACCCUUGGUAAGGGUGAGGACCCCAGUUCGACUCUGGGUAUCAGCACCA
rnacentral:tRNA from 1 species